UGGACGGGGGGGCAGCGUUGUUCGGAAUUACUGGGCGUAAAGGGCUCGUGAGGCGGCCAACUAAGUCCGACGUGAAAUCCCCAGGCUUAACCUGGGAACUGCGUCGGAUACUGGAUGGCUUGAAUCCGGGAGAGGGAUGCGGAAUUCCAGGUGUAGCGGUGAAAUGCGUAGAUAUCUGGAGGAACACCGGUGGCGAAGGCGGCUAUCUGGCCCGUAAUUGACGCUGAGGCGCGAAAGCGUGGGGAGCAAACAGG
rnacentral:rRNA from 1 species